UACGAAGGGGGCUAGCGUUGUUCGGAUUUACUGGGCGUAAAGCGCACGUAGGCGGAUCGUUAAGUCGGGGGUGAAAUCCUGGAGCUCAACUCCGGAACUGCCUUCGAUACUGGCGAUCUAGAGUCCGGAAGAGGUGAGUGGAACUCCUAGUGUAGAGGUGGAAUUCGUAGAUAUUAGGAAGAACACCAGUGGCGAAGGCGGCUCACUGGUCCGGUACUGACGCUGAGGUGCGAAAGCGUGGGGAGCAAACAGG
rnacentral:rRNA from 1 species